UGCUGCCGCCGUCUUCCCUCCUCCUCCGCCGGGCUUUGUGCUGCCUGCAGCCAGCGUGCACCUGGUGUAAGCAAAGCAGACAGUGUGCUGGAUGGUGGGGAAUUGCACGCUGGGAUACCUACCCAUGGAGUACCACACUGUGCAUCAAAACAAGUAUUCCUGACUGAGAAUCCUUGAAGAUUUAAUGGUGAAGAACUCAGAAAAGCAAGAGCUACACCAGAGGAUGAAACCAGCUAUAGCUAAAGCUUCGAACAAACCCAAACUGAACAUUUUUUGGAGGUUCCGUAGAGUCUGAAUAAUUUUGUUUUCAUUAUUUAUUUCUUCAUGCCUCUGUACUUUCAAAUUCCACUGGACAUGCCUUCUAAAUAGCACUUAGAUUGUGUGCAUAGAUACCAGCCUGAUGUCUUACAAAUGUCUAAGACAUACAGACAGAAUGCAACAUGAGAGAAUUUUCUUGUGGUAUUUUUGUCUGGCAUGUGUUCUUGAGCCCUUUUAUGGAUGUUGUCUUAAAUUGAAUGUCCUUGAAUUUUAUAGUAACAUUAGAGGCAUUGCGUUAAAUUUCACCCUAGCUACUCUCUGAUAUCCACAUAUGUAUGAUGAAAAUUACAUGCACAAACACAUGUGCACCUACACUUUGCGGUGCAAAUACUCAUGAGUUCCUUAUAAACAGCCUGACAUCUAAGUGCAUGUGUAACUAUGUCAAGUGCAUGUAAUCAUGUCUCCCUCUAGUGCCUGGCCCUGGAACAACCAUACAGUGUGCAGCUAAAACGGAGGCCUGUGCUUUAGCACUGACUGUCCAAGUUCUGCUGCUGAUCCAGGAUAUGGGUGGGGGAAUUGUCACAACCCAGUGGCCUCCUCCCUCAGGGGGUCCCCUGGAAAGGCAGAUCAGCAUUGUAUGUUGCUAAGGCUGUUGCAAGCAUCGCAAGGCAUUUUGGGAAGGGUUAAAGGUGUGAGUGUGGAAUGGAAGAUUCCUUUGCAGGUUGCAAGAGGCCGAAGGGGGAGGAAGGGAGAAGAGAACAGGUUAAUGUGACGACUCAGCUCAGUCCGAAGAUAAGACGCCGGCUCCAGUCCAAGGUCGCUGCACUCGAACAGACUCUAUCCAGCCAAGAAGCCUGCAGCUGUACCUGGAUCUUACCCAACCCCAGCCAACUGUGAGAAAAGAGAAGUAAGCUGAACCAGACUGCAGGGGAUUGAAAAAAAUAGGGAGACGGUAAAGGCCAGCUAGGGGAAAAACAACCAUCUCAUGUCCCUGAAGCCAGUGUGUUUUGGGAAUGCUGAGGAGGCCAUGGAGAGCCAGUUUGGACUGGUACAAAGAGCAUGGGGGACAAAGGUCCCUGAACCAAAUGCCCCAAAAGACCCCAGGACUUAAAACCCUCUUGAGAGCUGAAGCAAAUUGGAGAUCAACAGUGGACCCUGGACGGCCUGUGCACAGGACAGAACUCUCGCCCACCCUUCCCCCCCUUCUUCUUACGUUACACCCAGGCU